rfam:Myotis brandtii contig144017, whole genome shotgun sequence.
GCCGGUGUGGCUCAGUGGCUGAGCGUCGACCCAGGAACCAGGAGGUCACAGGUUCGAUUCCUGGUCAAGGGCA